rnacentral:tRNA from 2 species
CCUUCGAUAGCUCAGUUGGUAGAGCGGUGGACUGUAGCGAAAGUUAGGAGUAGUGCGAUCGUGUGAUCAAAACUCCGAUCAUUGUAGAAAUCCAUAGGUCACUGGUUCAAAUCCGGUUCGAAGGA